AACGUAGGAGACAAACGUUAUCCGGAGUUACUGGGCGUAAAGGGCGUGUAGGUGGUUUCGUAAGUCUGGCGUGAAAUUUUUCGGCUUAACCGGGAAAGGUCGUCGGAUACUGCGGAGCUAGAGGACGGUAGAGGCGUGUGGAAUUCCGGGUGUAGUGGUGAAAUGCGUAGAGAUCCGGAGGAACACCAGUGGCGAAAGCGACUCUCUGGACGGCAACUGACGCUGAGGCACGAAAGCGUGGGGAGCAAACAGG
rnacentral:rRNA from 1 species